GGGAGGAGCGGAUUUUGGUAGCGGAAAGGGGAGAAGAAGAAAUCACCGCUUGGAGCUCGGUCAAGACGUUCUCUCCGACGCCGAAAUUGAUAAACUCAUCACGGACCUUGUUGAUGACAUCAUCCACCACAUGGAUGUAGACACUGGAGACGUUGCUCGCCAUCUCCGGCGAUCAAGAACGGAACGGACGGAAAGGAGACGCGAAGGAGAACCAGCAGGCGAGAUUGGAGAGUGGGAGGGGCGCGAAUCGGAGCCCAACUGAGGGUAAGAGCAUGGAGAAUCACGGGCUUUAGGGGGAUCUAGGGUUUCGAGCUCGGCGAGUGGGUGGAGGGGGGAGGAGAGAGAGAGCGGAUGGAGGAGGGGUUGCGGACGAGAAAGCUUGGUAUUAAGACAAGAAUAUAAAU
rnacentral:lncRNA from 1 species